rnacentral:rRNA from 1 species
UACGGGGGGAGCAAGCGUUGUCCGGAAUUAUUGGGCGUAAAGAGCUCGUAGGCGGUGUGUCGCGUCGGCCGUGAAAACCUGCAGCUUAACUGUGGGCUUGCGGUCGAUACGGGCAUCACUGGAGUUCGGCAGGGGAGACUGGAAUUCCUGGUGUAGCGGUGAAAUGCGUAGAGAUGUGGAGGAACACCAAUGGCGAAGGCAGCCUUCUGGGCCAACACUGACGCUCAUGCACGAAAGCGUGGGGAGCAAACAGG